CCUUGGCUCCCUGCACUGUUAUGUGACAGCUCUCCUCUGGAGACGAAGGGUCCUUUCCUGCUAGAAAAUCUAUGCCAGACAGGACUCCUCUGCAAAUUACUAACUCGUUGAACUCAGCAAAUAUGUAUCAAGCAGUCAGAGAAGCAGUGGUGGUGGCAGUAUCUUGGGAGGAUUCGUCACAAAGCUCAAGUGAAAGAGAAGAUCAAAGGCUGUGGCAGUCAAAGAAGGUGGUACAUGACAAGAUUCUUAAAGUAUGAGGAACAAAGAGGAAAGGGCAUCCUGGGAAGAGACAAGACUGGAAUGACAGUGCAGAGGUUGGAUUCUAGCUCCAGAAUCUUGUCCCAUAAUGACAGGCCAAAGGAAAGUCAGAAGCAGGGA
rnacentral:lncRNA from 1 species